GCGGUGUGGACGUCGUCGUUGUCGUACCUCCAAAUCGUAUUGUAACUUGACGUCGCGAUGUUCACCAGAUACGGGCUGUUCUUCCGCCUCGAUGUAUAGCGCCGCUGGUUGUUUGUUGGCAGCAGCAGCAGCAGCAGCAGCAGCGUAAAAACACCUGUGAGACGCCCUGUGCUUACCAUCUCGUGGGGUAUACAACGAUCGAAGUUUCCCAUGAGUCUCCAAAUAUACUCUGACAGGGCCAGAAACUUUGAUGCACGUUCGAAAUCCAGAUAAUAAUCGAGAAACGUUGUCGAAGCUUCCAGUCAACGUACUUUGAUUCGCAUAAACGUUGUUUCUCUGACCCCGUUUACCAGUCUCGAUUGAUUCAGAAUCCGAAUCUGAAUCGACUCUUGGAACGGAUUCGGUUAAAACGGGAGGCGAUAGAACGACUCGUAAAGCUCCACGUGCAUAUCGCCAAAUCACAGUCCCUCUCGAACAUCGAAGGUAGACUGGUCGUACACCUCGUCCACCACCCCCGCUGUAACGCAAUAAUACCGGUAAAUGUCGAGAUAGUUGUCGCUUUUGCGCUUUUAUUUUCAUCAUUUCCCUGUUUUUCCCUGUUUUCAAUUCGAUCACUCGUCGGCAAGACAUUGCGACCAUGCAGCGAGAGUUUGCAAACAUUUACAUACACGUUUGGCGUUUAUCUAUACUACGCUCCACAUAAGUGUGCACGGAUAUAUUGUAUGUAUGUAUUGAGCAAGAACCGUUGCUUAUAAGGCGCGAACUCGAACCGCUCUUUCUUUGGUAAAGAAAGAGAUGAUAAAUCGAACGCUAGCCCGCGAGAUGCUUCUCGAGUGGGCUCGGAGGAUGUCUGAGAAAACCGGUUCUGGUCGUAAGUCGUGCGACUGGUUUCGCGUUCAAUAAAAGUCGCAGAGUUUUCCUUGUUCAUUAUAGAGAUCGAAACGCAUUGUGUGUACACAUAGACUAUGUUGUAUCGCGCGACGAACCGCGAGUAGAUCGAUGUCGCGUACAGUUAAAUUUAACAGAAAUUCUGCGAAUUACUCUUUAGACUUUAUAUACGGCAGUUACGGUCUGCGUCAGCGGCGGUAGCAGCGAUCAAAAAUAGGAAAUGGUUGCGGAAAAAGAAAGAUUUCAAAUAUAAUAAAUAACGAAUAAUAUAAGAAAUACAAACCUUCCAAUCCAGUCGCAUUGAUCGGCGGCUUGUAGGGCAGCAUGUUGGUACGUGGGGGCCGAUGACACGACGUUAACAUAUUGAUGUAACAGUAAUGAUAUCAAACCAGCGACGAACGUAAGCGGUUUCAUUUUUCGUUGAUCCCGUAUUGCGUCCACUAAAUAUUACCAAACGACUCGAUUUGCAUUUUACUUUAGAACCUCGUGCACGGCAUUUUCAUUUUUAAGGAUAUUCUUUGCAGCGAACGUGCAUACAGAUACGCGAUUCUUCCUAUGUCAUUUUUUUUUUUCUUUAACUUUUACCUUUUUAUAGAAACUGAAACAUUCGAUUUAGGACACAAGUGAUUGCAGAGACUGCGAUGGAGAGACGCAACAAGACUACGUACUCUAGAUAUAUCUGUCUCCGAUUUUAGUACAUCACUGAAUAUCGUUGUUGUUGUUGUUGUUGUUGUUGUUGUCGUCGUCGUAGUUGUUUAGUCGUCGUGUUACCGUAUACGAGAUGGUCUACCCGAUUUCCAAAUUUUAUAAUUACUACCAACAGAUGGAAACGUCAUUACGGUGGUCGAGCACAUUGGCUUGCGUUCGAAGCGAAUCGUUUGCGGUCGAGCGUCGAUCGCAAAAUUGUCCUGGUGCGUCUUUACAGAUUUCCUAACUGAUUCUACUCACUCUUCUCUCUACACUGCGUAUUCGAGACUCGUGGUCGUACGGUCGCGUACAUUCAACGAGCGAAAUCGACAAUAUCCGAAGGAUCAUGCUUGUCGUCGUUGGAACGUGGAGGGCUGGUAAACACUCGCAAAAACUACUUUAGCUAUCACGCGAGUCGACGUAUUUCUACGGGUCUCUAGACGUUUGUAGCGACCGCUUACAGAACUUGUGCACAACUAUUUUCGGCUGUCGUUCCCCGUUGAUCUCACCCUUCUCCCUACUCUCAUCCUUCGGUACCCGAGUCUCUUUGGUAGUGUUUGUGCUACAGCCGCUACAGCUACAACUCGGCUCAUAUGUUUUGGCCGCGUCGCUUCGCCUCGCCACGCCUUGCCACUCGCACACCGUUCAGUUUCGUCCUUUCAUUCUCCCUGUCCUAUAUGUACCUCUCUUUUUUCCUUACCCAUUCCCUUCUCAUCCUGUGUUCUCUGUCACUCUGCACCGUCCGUUCUUUUCUUUAGUUUUUACGUCUUACUCGAACUAUCCAAAAGCGUUGUCGUUUAUCUCUCUGUUCGUUUCGUCACCAGUAUGCUAGUACAUACCGCUACACUGCUACUGUUGUUGUUGCUGUGGCCGGGAUUGUGACUACAAUAUUGUGACUAUAUUGUUAUUAUUACGAGCCAUUCGUGGUACCGUGGAAUUUCAUAACAAUAAUUAAAUGUUUCUUAUUAUUACAUUCUGUAUCGAUGUUGACCGUCGAUUCUCAAUUUUGUGUCAUGCUUGUACAAUAAUUUACACGGAUUUAAUGGUGAAAAUUUGUUCAUGUACCUUACCUACCGUAUAUAUUUAUAAUUUGUUUUCUUAUCUUACUCUGUCGGCAAAUUGCAAUGGCAAGGGGUGUGCGGAUUUAACAACAAGUAGGUUUUUCGGUGAUUCGCGCGAGUUCAUAUUCCAUGCUGUUCAUUCUGAAACGUGUCCAACCCUUUUUGUAAAAUCUUAUUUUUUUUUUUUUUUCGUUUUCCUCUUCAUGGAAGAAGAAAAAACUUACAUUUCGGAGCAAAAUGUUUGCCAAUUUACGUAUCCUGGAGUACACUCGACAGGACGGGGAUUAUACGAAUGUAUAUUGAACAUCUUCAUGCUAAAUUUGUACGAAUCUAUAGACACGAAUCCCGAGUCACGGACGCUGAUGUUUCGAAAAAUGCUAUUCAACUGCCUGCGACAGUUGAGAAAGGCGACUUUCCAUUGUGCAAAUGUGGCGCCAAACGUGGAGAAAAGAUGAAGCUCCGUUCAUUGAUGGUACAACGCCAAUCGAUGCAGCGGCAACAUGCUGAACGUGUUGGCUAAAAUCGACCGAGAUCCGCCGCAUAAAAACGAAACUCUGAUGAAUAGUAUGGACGAAGUAUCGUGUGUUCUUUUCUCCGCAAAGUCGUGUCAGUGGAGGGAGGAGGAGUAGGCUUGGGAGGAGGAGGGGAGGUAUUAGGGGUAAUACUAAUUAAGUAUUAAAUUGUAAAAUAGUAAAAAAAAAAAAAAAAAAUAUGUUUUUACAUCAAUUAUAAUCCCCUUAAAAUUUGUCCAAACAAAUCUAUGAUGAGAGAUGUAAUAAAACUAUGAAUUUAAAGUGAACCAUUAAGAUAUAAGAAUAGAAAUUUAUUAAGAGGGGUCGCUGGAGUGUUGGACGGUUCUAGCCUCUAUAAUUACAAGACUUGCCAUAGCGGAGACUUUUUUUUGUAAAGAUUACGGAAUUUUCGCGUUGGACGAACCAAGAAGAA